rnacentral:rRNA from 1 species
GAUGAACGCUGGCGGCGUGCCUAAUACAUGCAAGUCGAGCGAACAGAUGAGGAGCUUGCUCCUCUGACGUUAGCGGCGGACGGGUGAGUAACACGUGGAUAACCUACCUAUAAGACUGUUAUAACUUCGGGAAACCGGAGCUAAUACCGGAUAAUAUAUUGAACCGCAUGGUUCAAUAGUGAAAGACGGUUUUGCUGUCACUUAUAGAUGGAUCCGCGCCGCAUUAGCUAGUUGGUAAGGUAACGGCUUACCAAGGCAACGAUGCGUAGCCGACCUGAGAGGGUGAUCGAGCACACGGGAACUGAGAAACGGUCCAGACUCCGGCGGGAGGCAGCAGUAGGGAAUCUUCCGCGAUGGGGGAAAGCGUGGCGGAGCAAAGCCGCGGGAGUGAUGAAGGUCUUCGGAUCGUAAAACGAUGUUAGUGGUGAAGAACAAAUGUGUAAGUAACGAUGCACGUCUUGACGGUACCUGAUCAGAAAGCCACGGCUAACUACGUG